CAGGGUGUAGCUCAGUUUGUGUAGAGUGCUCGCCUCGGUCGCGAGAAGUCGCAGGUUCAAAUCCUGUCACCCUGAC
rnacentral:tRNA from 1 species